GGGGAAGUAGCUCAGCGGGAGAGCGCCUGCCUUGCAAGCAGGGGGUCGCGAGUUCGAUUCUCGUCUUCUCCACCA
rnacentral:tRNA from 1 species